GUCUUCUUGGUUUAAAUAAGAAGUCUGACCUGCCCGGUGAAAAAUUUUUAACGGCCGCGGUAUUCUUGACCGUGCAAAGGUAGCAUAAUCAUUAGUCUUUUAAUAGGAGGCUGGUAUGAAGGGUUUGACGAGGAGUUGACUGUCUCAUUUAAUUUUAUAUUAGAAUUUAACUUUUCAGUUAAAAGGCUGAAAUUUUGUUGGAAGACGAGAAGACCCUAUAGAGUUUUAUAUUCUUUGUGAUAAUUAUAUAUAAUAUUUAAUUUAUUAUUAAGAGUAUUUUGUUGGGGUGACAAAAAUAUAUAAUUAACUUUUUUAUCUUUUUAUCAUUGAUAUAUGUUUAUUAGAUCCAAUCUUAUUGAUUGUUAGAUUAAGUUACC
rnacentral:rRNA from 1 species